GAGGUUUUGUACCUCUCGCCUCAUUUGCCGCUGCUUCCUUGUAAAAUUCGGACAUGAAUAUUGACUGGCACGGUGCGGAUUUGAGCAACGGUCUCGAAAAUGUUGCUGUUUUAAUUGAGCGGAGUUCAGGUGUACUGACAUUUCCUGAAUUUCAGUAUUCUCCAGAUAAUAUUCAGGGUCCAGGAUGCUCUACUGACCCCAGUGAAAUUACCCUUCCUGGGUGCUCCUGCCUUUCCCACUCCUGCUUCACCGAGAGCUGCUCCUGCCUGCAGACACAUGGGCAGGCAUACGACAGCACUGGCACACUGCUCAACCUCAGCAGAAUAGACUCUGGUUACUGCUCACCUGUGUUUGAGUGUAAUGCCCUUUGCUCCUGCAGUGAUGCCUGCUCUAACCGGGUGGUGCAGAGAGGGCUAAGACUCCGGUUGGAGGUUUGCAGCACCAAGAACAGGGGCUGGGGAGUACGGGCACUAGAGGCAAUCCCACGUGGGACGUUUGUGUGCGAGUAUGCAGGAGAGUUGAUCAGUUUGGAGGAGGCCAGACGCAGACAGCUUGCCCAGAGAUCCGAGGAAAACAACUACAUCAUCGCCGUAAGGGAGCAUGCAGGCACGGGCUCCAUCACUGAGACGUUUGUGGACCCUGCCGUGGUGGGAAACGUAGGCCGCUUUCUCAACCACUCCUGCCAGCCCAACCUGUUCAUGCAGCCAGUCCGCGUGCACUCGGUGGUUCCUAGACUGGCGCUGUUUGCUGGACGGAACAUUGAUGCACAAGAAGAGCUGACAUUUGACUACUCGGGGUUAUACAGUAACCAACCUCCUGCAGAGCUGCCGUCCACACAAAGUGACGCCGCCACGCAGGCCAGUAGGACAGAUGGACUCCAGAGGAAGGAGUGCCGUUGUGGUGCAGACAACUGUGUUCGGUUCCUUCCGCUGGAUUUAUCUAUUCUCAACUAAUGUAAAUAAAAUUUCAUGUCACUAGAGUGUUUCUGAAUGACGGAGAAAAGAUUUUUUUGUCAAGCCUUCUGCCUUUUGUUUUCUCCUUAUUUUCAUUUCAAACUGUCUCUUUAGAUAUGUCUUGGUCUAUUUUCAGUCUCCCUGAAAUCUUUGUUAAUUCAACCUCUCAUUAGAACAAGACAAUGCGACGUGUUGAUGGCACCAUAAACACAAUCAGCAGGAUGAGUCAUGUCUCUGCCUGUCAUUGUUUCCUGUUUGCCCCCCCCCCCCGGCCUCUCCUCAUCUGCCACUGUCUCCACUCAAGUGUAAGGGGAUGCAAUAAAAACUAUGCAUUGGGGACGCGUGCUCCGUGUAGGACAUUUCCCACAUGAUACAGUCUUGCAGCUGUCAUCUUGACCUGGCUCAUGGAAAGUCCCGUUUCUCACACAUUAAUCUGGAAGGAGCAGAACCAUCAUUUGCACUGACAGAGAUUGGAGGAAUGAUGUUUAAUAGGUUUCUUUUAAUAGUCACAUACGCUACAGAGGUGAUCUCUACACCUUUACAAUUGCCAAAGCUUUUUGCAAUAACAUGUCAUGUCAGUCAAAAACAAAUCAAAAUUCUCAAAGCUUUUAUUUGUUUCCAUCCUCUUGACGUUUCUUAUCUGGCUUCAUGCAAUUCAUCCUCCCCUUGUAGAUAUUCUCAGCCUCUCAUCCCACUCAAACCUCAAGAGAGGUGGGACCAAUUAAAAAGGGCCAGGGGGUGUUUUCUUAUAUAGAAACAGACUUUAUUCCCCUGUCAAAGGAGGGGCGAAGGUGUCCCACUUUGGUGUGACCAUUCUGAAAUCAGGACCUUCUCCUUUCAAUCUGCCACUGUUUCUAGUCUAGACCUGUUUUCAUCUUAUUAAUAUCUAGAUCUAGGUUAAUUAGGAUGGAGACUGUGUUACAUCCAGAAAUGGGACCAGCGCUGCGGCCACACUGGGGCUGAGAGAGACUAAAUGGUGGGGGGAGAUGGAAGGCUUCAGCUGAUCGGAGACCACUGUGAAAUUGAUUGGUUUUUGUGUCACCCAGUGGAGAGGCGAAUGUGGCAGGAUGAUGUUGUUUUGACCUAUAUUUUCUCCUCUGUGAGGGCUUUUUUCUGUUCAAAAUGAGCUAUUCUUUGCAUUGUUUCUGAUCUGAUCCACACCCAGGAAAUAAAAACUCAACCUAAAGGAA